UUACCGGCUUNAAUGGUUUGAAAGCUUCGGAGCCAAGGUGCUGCAUGGCUGUCGUCAGCUCGUGCCGUGAGGUGUUGGGUUAAGUCCCGCAACGAGCGCAACCCUAUCUUAGUUGCCAUCAAUGGGACUCUAAGAAACUGCCUACGUAAUAGGAGGAAGGCGGGGACGACGUCAAGUCAUCAUGGCCCUUACGCCGGGCUACACACGUGCUACAAUGGAGUACAUGAGGCAUGGUAACAGGCGCAACCUCAAAACUAUCUCAUUCGGAUUGAGGUCUGCAACUCGACCUCAUGAAGCUGGAUUCGCUAGUAAUCGGAAUCAGCAUGUCCGGUGAAUACGUUCCCGGGCCUUGUACACACCGCCCGUCAAGCCAUGGAAGCUGGAGACCGAA
rnacentral:rRNA from 1 species